rnacentral:lncRNA from 1 species
CCAACGCAAGCAUUGCUGAAAAUGUACUUGAGAAUGGAACCACUCCGACUGAGCCGAGCAGCACGGCAGCCAGCAACAUUACAGAAUUGGUGAAUGCCACCACCGCAAUCUUUGAUGAAAAUGUCUGUGAGAAUGGAACCACUCCGGCAGAGGCCAGCAACAAGACAGCCUUCAACAAGACUGAAUUUUCCUUACCAGAUUCCUGCAAAAUAAAGGCGAGUGAUGGGCUGUGUCCAGGACAGCCCAGAAAAACGGGCAACGCUUUCACACGAGAAAAUAUCAAGUGGACUUACAGCACCGAAUACGGUUUCUGCGGUCUGCAUCGAUGGGAUGGCUGUGGAAACACGACGAACAUUUAUUCGACUUGUAAGGAAUGUGAACUCAAGUGCAUUGAUCCCUCAGCAUAUACGUGCGACGAUUUUUAUUCUGAUGAAUAAAACUUCUUGGGGGCGAAUAGGCAGGUGACAGACAUUAUAAGCAAGCACCCCUCAUUCUAAAGUAUU